UACGUAGGGGGCAAGUGUUGUCCGGAAUCAUUGGGCGUAAAGCGCGUGUAGGCGGUUAUGUAAGUCUGCUGUGAAAGUCGGAGGCUCAACCUUCGAAAGCCGGUGGAUACUGCGUGACUAGAGUACGGAAGAGGAGAGUGGAAUUCCUGGUGUAGCGGUGAAAUGCGCAGAUAUCAGGAGGAACACCAACGGCGAAGGCAGCUCUCUGGGACGUUACUGACGCUGAGACGCGAAAGCGUGGGGAGCAAACAGG
rnacentral:rRNA from 1 species